UACGGGGGGGGCAAGCGUUGUUCGGAAUUACUGGGCGUAAAGGGCUCGUAGGCGGCCAACUAAGUCAGACGUGAAAUCCCUCAGCUUAACUGGGGAACUGCGUCUGAUACUGGAUGGCUUGGAUUCGGGAGAGGAAUGCGGAAUUCCAGGUGUAGCGGUGAAAUGCGUAGAUAUCUGGAGGAACACCGGUGGCGAAGGCGGGUCUCUGGACAGUUCCUGACACUGAGGCACGAAGGCCAGGGAGCAAACGGG
rnacentral:rRNA from 1 species